rnacentral:tRNA from 1 species
CAAGAGGUAUUUUAGCUGUUAGAAUCCUGGUUUUGGAGGCCAGGGGUGGGGGUGAAAAUCCCCCCCUCUUGA